rnacentral:sRNA from 1 species
UUGCCCGCUCUCCACGAACUCUCUCUAAGUCGAAAUUCUCUAUUUAAUUUAAACUCUAUGCAUUUCUUUGUGCUCUUUAAGCAAAAAGGCGAUUGCUCAAAUAAAUUGUGGUGUCUGGAUGCGUGUGUCGCUGUGUGUGUGAUUGAGAGUGGGCCAAAAGGCUGUGCGUGUUUUGGGGCAAAACCAACACCAUACACAACUGUUUAUUGUUUCAACAUUUCUUUAAUUCAGCCAUUUAAGUGAACCCCAUUUCCAUAUUUAUCUAUGUAUUCUAUUAUGUUGUGUGUACAACAACAUGAUGUCAAUGAAUGCCUUCCUUGCUGGCCUUUUUGUUUU